rnacentral:rRNA from 1 species
ACUCAAAUGAAUAGACGGGGGCCCGCACAAGCGGUGGAGCAUGUGGAUUAAUACGUCACUAACCGUAGAACCUUACCCAGGCUUGACAUCCCGCGAACGCCCUUGAAAGGGGGAAGUGCCUCGCAAGAGGAGCGCGGAGACAGGUGUUGCAUGGCUGUCGUCAGCUCGUGUCGUGAGAUGUUGGGUUAAGUCCCGCAACGAGCGCAACCCUCACCGUAUGUUGCCAGCGUCAAGUCGGGCACUCUUACGGAACUGCCCGGGUAACCGGGAGGAAGGUGGGGACGACGUCAAGUCAGCAUGGCCCUUACGCCUGGGGCUUCACACAUGCUACAAUGGCCGGUCCAAAGGGUCCCGAGACCGUGAGGUGGAGGCAAUCCCAAAAAGCCGGUCACAGUUCGGAUCGCAGGCUGCAACUCGCCUGCGUGAAGUCGGAAUCGCUAGUAACCGCCGGUCAGCUAAACGGCGGUGAAUACGUUCCCGGGCCUUGUACACACCGCCCGU